rnacentral:rRNA from 1 species
UCGAGGGGCAUCGGGAUUGAAGCUUGCUUCAAUUGCCGGCGACCGGCGCACGGGUGCGUAACGCGUAUGUAACCUACCUAUAACAGGGGCAUAACACUGAGAAAUUGGUACUAAUUCCCCAUAAUAUUCGGAGAGGCACCUCUCCGGGUUGAAAACUCCGGUGGUUAUAGAUGGACAUGCGUUGUAUUAGCUAGUUGGUGAGGUAACGGCUCACCAAGGCAACGAUACAUAGGGGGACUGAGAGGUUAACCCCCCACACUGGUACUGAGACACGGACCAGACUCCUACGGGAGGCAGCAGUGAGGAAUAUUGGUCAAUGGACGCAAGUCUGAACCAGCCAUGCCGCGUGCAGGAAGACGGCUCUAUGAGUUGUAAACUGCUUUUGUACGAGGGUAAACUCACCUACGUGUAGGUGACUGAAAGUAUCGUACGAAUAAGGAUCGGCUAACUCCGUGCCAGCAGCCGCGGUAAUACGGAGGAUUCAAGCGUUAUCCGGAUUUAUUGGGUUUAAAGGGUGCGUAGGCGGUUUGAUAAGUUAGAGGUGAAAUCCCGGGGCUUAACUCCGGAACUGCCUCUAAUACUGUUAGACUAGAGAGUAGUUGCGGUAGGCGGAAUGUAUGGUGUAGCGGUGAAAUGCUUAGAGAUCAUACAGAACACCGAUUGCGAAGGCAGCUUACCAAACUAUAUCUGAC